rnacentral:misc_RNA from 1 species
AAACAAAUCACAUUUUCAUGCAAUGUCCCUUUUUCUUUCCUAAUAAUUUCCUCAAAAUUUCAUGAACAGCUAGUUGAAACACAAACAUUAUAUACAAGGAAAACUCUAAAUUGCAACAAUUUGGAAUCCAAACAAAUAAAGCCAUUUUCCAUCGAUCAAACCUAUAUAUGAAGAAGGAACGCAAACAUUUCUUGGUAGAUGCACAUAAAUAUUAAAUUAAAGCAAAA